UAGAGUUGUAAAACUCCCAAAAACCAUGUGAACAUACCUGUUGCCUCGGCGGGCCUACCCUAUAGCUACCCUGUAGCUACCUGGGAAGUGACCGCCGAAGGACUACCAAAACUCUUUCAUCUCUGUAUCUCUGAGCAAAAAAACAAAUAAGUUA
rnacentral:misc_RNA from 1 species